UCAGAUGAGAAGGAAGCUUGGCUCUUUCGAUUCAGCGGCGGACGGGUGAGUAAUGCCUAGGAAUCUGCCUGGUAGUGGGGGACAACGUUUCGAAAGGAACGCUAAUACCGCAUACGUCCUACGGGAGAAAGCAGGGGACCUUCGGGCCUUGCGCUAUCAGAUGAGCCUAGGUCGGAUUAGCUAGUUGGUGAGGUAAUGGCUCACCAAGGCGACGAUCCGUAACUGGUCUGAGAGGAUGAUCAGUCACACUGGAACUGAGACACGGUCCAGACUCCUACGGGAGGCAGCAGUGGGGAAUAUUGGACAAUGGGCGAAAGCCUGAAUCCAUCCCAUGCCCGCGUGUGUGAAGAAAGGGUCCUUCGGAUUGUAAAAGCACUUUUAGUUGGGAUGAAGGGCAUUAAAAUNNUUUUUUUUUGUUGGUUCUUGUUGUUUAUCUAUU
rnacentral:rRNA from 1 species